rnacentral:rRNA from 1 species
GAGUAAUUGGUACUAACUACCCAUUAAUUAUUUGAAAGGCAUUCUUUCGGAGUUGAAAGUUCCGGCGGUUAGAGAUGGGCAUGCGUUGUAUUAGCUAGAUGGUGAGGUAACGGCUCACCAUGGCGACGAUACAUAGGGGGACUGAGAGGUUAACCCCCCACAUUGGUACUGAGACACGGACCAAACUCCUACGGGAGGCAGCAGUGAGGAAUAUUGGUCAAUGGACGCAAGUCUGAACCAGCCAUGCCGCGUGCAGGAUGACGGCUCUAUGAGUUGUAAACUGCUUUUGUAUUAGGGUAAACCUUAGUACGUGUACUAAGCUGAAAGUAUAAUACGAAUAAGGAUCGGCUAACUCCGUG